rnacentral:rRNA from 1 species
AGCAGUCGCCGCGGUAAUACAGAGGGUGCAAGCGUUAAUCGGAAUUACUGGGCGUAAAGCGCGCGUAGGUGGUUUGUUAAGUUGGAUGUGAAAUCCCCGGGCUCAACCUGGGAACUGCAUCCCAAACUGGCAAGCUAGAGUAUGGUAGAGGGUGGUGGAAUUUCCUGUGUAGCGGUGAAAUGCGUAGAUAUAGGAAGGAACACCAGUGGCGAAGGCGACCACCUGGACUGAUACUGACACUGAGGUGCGAAAGCGUGGGGAGCAAACAGGAUUAGAUACCCGGGUAGUCCCUGUCUCUUAUAC